GGAUAAUCCAGUCGAGUCCCGCCAUUUAGCAACACCUGAACCGCAUUUGCAAUUGUGGGAGUCCAGGCAUCCCAAGUAAUUCGCGGAAUCGUUCCGUUGUUCAGCAUCUUAAAACUGCUCCAACUUGAUAAAGAGACAAAGGUUGGGACGAUGAUUAAGCUAAUGAAGAAUGCGAUGGAUACCAAAAUGGACCUGAGUGGAAAAUUCCAUAUUGCGCUGGUUGACUAAGUCGUCUACUUCAUCUGUGGUGAAAAAUUCUGAAAUAAAUCCGCUCUAAGACUGA